CGGAGGGUGCAAGCGUUGCUCGGAAUCACUGGGCGUAAAGGGUGCGUAGGCGGUCUCGCAAGUCUGGCGUGAAAGCCCAAGGCUCAGCCUUGGAAGUGCGCUCGAAACUGCGAGGCUGGAGUGCCGGAGGGGAGAGUGGAAUUCCCGGUGUAGCGGUGAAAUGCGUAGAGAUCGGGAGGAAUACCGGUGGCGAAAGCGACUCUCUGGACGGCAACUGACGCUGAGGCACGAAAGCGUGGGGAGCAAACAGGAUUAGAUACCCUGGUAGUCCACGCCGUAAACGAUGGACACUAGGUGUCGGGGGUAUCCACUCCCUCGGUGCCGCCGCUAACGCAGUAAGUGUCCCGCCUGGGAAGUACGGUCGCAAGAUUA
rnacentral:rRNA from 1 species